UACGUAGGGAGCAAGCGUUGUCCGGAAUCAUUGGGCGUAAAGCGCGCGUAGGCGGCCCCGUAAGUCCGCUGUGAAAGUCAAAGGCUCAACCUUUGAAAGCCGAUGGAUACUGUGAGGCUAGAGUCCGGAAGAGGCGAGUGGAAUUCCUGGUGUAGCGGUGGAAUGCGCAGAUAUCAGGAGGAACACCAAUAGCGAAGGCAGCUCGCUGGGACGGUACUGACGCUAAGGCGCGAAAGCGUGGGGAGCGAACAGG
rnacentral:rRNA from 1 species